AGUUGCUAGCAUUAGACCCGAAACCGAGUGAUCUAGCCAUGGGCAGGUUGAAGGUUGAGUAACAUCAACUGGAGGACCGAACUCACUAACGUUGAAAAGUUAGGAGAUGACCUGUGGCUAGGGGUGAAAGGCCAAUCAAACUCGGAGAUAGCUGGUUCUCCCCGAAAGCUAUUUAGGUAGCGCCUCGGACGAACACUACUGGGGGUAGAGCACUGUUAAGGCUAGGGGGUCAUCCCGACUUACCAACCCUUUGCAAACUCCGAAUACCAGUAAGUGCUAUCCGGGAGACACACGGCGGGUGCUAACGUCCGUCGUGGAGAGGGAAACAACCCAGACCGCCAGCUAAGGUCCCAAAGUUAUCGCUAAGUGGGAAACGAUGUGGGAAGGCUCAGACAGCCAGGAUGUUGGCUUAGAAGCAGCCAUCAUUUAAAGAAAGCGUAAUAGCUCACUGGUCGAGUCGGCCUGCGCGGAAGAUGUAACGGGGCUAAGCGAUACACCGAAGCUGCGGCAAUGUCCUUAUGGAUAUUGGGUAGGGGAGCGUUGUGUAAGCCGUUGAAGGUGUGCUGAGAGGCAUGCUGGAGGUAUCACAAGUGCGAAUGCUGACAUGAGUAACGAUAAAGGGGGUGAAAAACCUCCUCGCCGGAAGACCAAGGGUUCCUGUCCAACGUUAAUCGGGGCAGGGUAAGUCGGCCCCUAAGGCGAGGCCGAAAGGCGUAGUCGAUGGGAAACGGGUUAAUAUUCCCGUACUGCUACUUACUGCGAUGGGGGGACGGAGAAGGCUAGGUGGGCCUGGCGAUGGUUGUCCAGGUUCAAGGGUGUAGGCUGUAAUCUUAGGCAAAUCCGGGAUUACGUACGGUCGAGACCCGAUGUCGAGCCACCAAGGUGGUGAAGUCAUUGAUGCCAUGCUUCCGGGAAAAGCCUCUAAGCUUCAGGUAAGUAGGAACCGUACUCCAAACCGACACAGGUGGUCGGGUAGAGAAUACCAAGGCGCUUGAGAGAACUCGGGUGAAGGAACUAGGCAAAAUGGUACCGUAACUUCGGGAGAAGGUACGCUGCCCACGGUGAAGUCCCUUGCGGAUGGAGCUAUGGGCAGUCGCAGAUACCAGGUGGCUGCAACUGUUUAUUAAAAACACAGCACUGUGCAAAAUCGAAAGAUGACGUAUACGGUGUGACGCCUGCCCGGUGCCGGAAGGUUAAUUGAUGUGGUUAUCGCAAGAGAAGCCAUUGAUCGAAGCCCCGGUAAACGGCGGCCGUAACUAUAACGGUCCUAAGGUAGCGAAAUUCCUUGUCGGGUAAGUUCCGACCUGCACGAAUGGCGUAAUGAUGGCCACGCUGUCUCCACCCGAGACUCAGUGAAAUUGAAAUCGCAGUGAAGAUGCUGUGUACCCGCGGCUAGACGGAAAGACCCCGUGAACCUUUACUACAGCUUGGCACUGAACAUUGAGCCUACAUGUGUAGGAUAGGUGGGAGGCUUUGAAACGGCGACGCCAGUUGUCGUGGAGCCAUCCUUGAAAUACCACCCUUGUAUGUUUGAUGUUCUAACUUAGCCCC
rnacentral:rRNA from 1 species